rnacentral:rRNA from 1 species
GACGAACGCUGGCGGCGUGCCUAAUACAUGCAAGUUGAGCGCUGAAGGUUGGUACUUGUACCAACUGGAUGAGCAGCGAACGGGUGAGUAACGCGUGGGGAAUCUGCCUUUGAGCGGGGGACAACAUUUGGAAACGAAUGCUAAUACCGCAUAAAAACUUUAAACACAAGUUUUAAGUUUGAAAGAUGCAAUUGCAUCACUCAAAGAUGAUCCCGCGUUGUAUUAGCUAGUUGGUGAGGUAAAGGCUCACCAAGGCGAUGAUACAUAGCCGACCUGAGAGGGGGAUCGCAAAAAUUGGGAAGGAAAAAAGGCCAAAAAUCCUACGGGAGGAAGAAGAAGGGAAUUUUCGGAAAUGGAAGAAAGUCUGACCGAGAAAGGCCGGGUGGGUGAAGAAGGUUUUGGGAUCGUAAAACUCGGUUGGUAGAGAAGAACGUGGGGGAGAGUGGAAAGCCAAUAAAGUGACGGUAAAUACCCAAAAAGGGAAGGCUAACUACGU